rnacentral:rRNA from 1 species
UCACUUUAACACUGAGGCGUGAUGACGAGGCACUACGGUGCUGAAGCAACAAAUGCCCUGCUUCCAGGAAAAGCCUCUAAGCAUCAGGUAACAUCAAAUCGUACCCCAAACCGACACAGGUGGUCAGGUAGAGAAUACCAAGGCGCUUGAGAGAACUCGGGUGAAGGAACUAGGCAAAAUGGUGCCGUAACUUCGGGAGAAGGCACGCUGACAUGUAGGUGAAGUGAUUUACUCAUGGAGCUGAAGUCAGUCGAAGAUACCAGCUGGCUGCAACUGUUUAUUAAAAACACAGCACUGUGCAAACACGAAAGUGGACGUAUACGGUGUGACGCCUGCCCGGUGCCGGAAGGUUAAUUGAUGGGGUCAGCGCAAGCGAAGCUCCUGAUCGAAGCCCCGGUAAACGGCGGCCGUAACUAUAACGGUCCUAAGGUAGCGAAAUUCCUUGUCGGGUAAGUUCCGACCUGCACGAAUGGCGUAAUGAUGGCCAGGCUGUCUCCACCCGAGACUCAGUGAAAUUGAACUCGCUGUGAAGAUGCAGUGUACCCGCGGCAAGACGGAAAGACCCCGUGAACCUUUACUAUAGCUUGACACUGAACAUUGAGCCUUGAUGUGUAGGAUAGGUGGGAGGCUUUGAAGCGUGGACGCCAGUCUGCGUGGAGCCGACCUUGAAAUACCACCCUUUAAUGUUUGAUGUUCUAACGUGGAUCCGUAAUCCGGGUUGCGGACAGUGUCUGGUGGGUAGUUUGACUGGGGCGGUCUCCUCCUAAAGAGUAACGGAGGAGCACGAAGGUUGGCUAAUCCUGGUCGGACAUCAGGAGGUUAGUGCAAUGGCAUAAGCCAGCUUGACUGCGAGCGUGACGGCGCGAGCAGGUGCGAAAGCAGGUCAUAGUGAUCCGGUGGUUCUGAAUGGAAGGGCCAUCGCUCAACGGAUAAAAGGUACUCCGGGGAUAACAGGCUGAUACCGCCCAAGAGUUCAUAUCGACGGCGGUGUUUGGCACCUCGAUGUCGGCUCAUCACAUCCUGGGGCUGAAGUAGGUCCCAAGGGUAUGGCUGUUCGCCAUUUAAAGUGGUACGCGAGCUGGGUUUAGAACGUCGUGAGACAGUUCGGUCCCUAUCUGCCGUGGGCGCUGGAGAACUGAGGGGGGCUGCUCCUAGUACGAGAGGACCGGAGUGGACGCAUCACUGGUGUUCGGGUUGUCAUGCCAAUGGCACUGCCCGGUAGCUAAAUGCGGAAGAGAUAAGUGCUGAAAGCAUCUAAGCACGAAACUUGCCCCGA